rnacentral:rRNA from 1 species
ACGAACGCUGGCGGCGUGGAUAAGACAUGCAAGUCGAACGGGAGAAUUGCUAGCUUGCUAAUAAUUCUCUAGUGGCGCACGGGUGAGUAACACGUGAGUAACCUGCCUCUUAGUGGGGGAUAGCCCUGGGAAACCGGGAUUAAUACCGCAUACGAUUGAAAGAUCAAAGCAGCAAUGCGCUAGGAGAUGGGCUCGCGGCCUAUUAGUUAGUUGGUGAGGUAACGGCUCACCAAGGCGAUGACGGGUAGCCGGUCUGAGAGGAUGUCCGGCCACACUGGAACUGAGACACGGUCCAGACACCUACGGGUGGCAGCAGUCGAGAAUCAUUCACAAUGGGGGCAACCCUGAUGGUGCGACGCCGCGUGGGGGAAUGAAGGUCUUCGGAUUGUAAACCCCUGUCAUGUGGGAGCAAAUUAAAAAGAUAGUACCACAAGAGGAAGAGACGGCUAACUCUGUGCCAGCAGCCGCGGUAAUACAGAGGUCUCAAGCGUUGUUCGGAAUCACUGGGCGUAAAGCGUGCGUAGGCUGUUUCGUAAGUCGUGUGUGAAAGGCAGGGGCUCAACCCCUGGAUUGCACAUGAUACUGCGAGACUAGAGUAAUGGAGGGGGAACCGGAAUUCUCGGUGUAGCAGUGAAAUGCGUAGAUAUCGAGAGGAACACUCGUGGCGAAGGCGGGUUCCUGGACAUUAACUGACGCUGAGGCACGAAGGCCAGGGGAGCGAAAGGGAUUAGAUACCCCUGUAGUCCUGGCAGUAAACGGUGCACGCUUGGUGUGCGGGGAAUCGACCCCCUGCGUGCCGGAGCUAACGCGUUAAGCGUGCCGCCUGGGGAGUACGGUCGCAAGAUUAAAACUCAAAGAAAUUGACGGGGACCCGCACAAGCGGUGGAGUAUGUGGCUUAAUUCGAUGCAACGCGAAGAACCUUACCUGGGCUUGACAUGUAAUGAACAACAUGUGAAAGCAUGCGACUCUUCGGAGGCGUUACACAGGUGCUGCAUGGCCGUCGUCAGCUCGUGUCGUGAGAUGUUUGGUUAAGUCCAGCAACGAGCGCAACCCCUGUUGCCAGUUACCAGCACGUCAAGGUGGGGACUCUGGCGAGACUGCCCAGAUCAACUGGGAGGAAGGUGGGGACGACGUCAGGUCAGUAUGGCCCUUAUGCCCAGGGCUGCACACGUACUACAAUGCCCAGUACAGAGGGGGCCGAAGCCGCGAGGCGGAGGAAAUCCUGAAAACUGGGCCCAGUUCGGACUGUAGGCUGCAACCCGCCUACACGAAGCCGGAAUCGCUAGUAAUGGCGCAUCAGCUACGGCGCCGUGAAUACGUUCCCGGGUCUUGUACACACCGCCCGUCACAUCAUGGAAGCCGGUCGCACCCGAAGUAUCUGAAGCCAACCGCAAGGAGGCAGGGUCCUAAGGUGAGACUGGUAACUGGGAUG